rnacentral:ncRNA from 1 species
CUAUGACAAGUAUUUGUCAUGGCGGAAGGAG